AGUACUUGAAUAAUGACAUGGGGGAAGGGGAGAGAGAGUGAGAGAGUAUAGAAUGAAAAACAAAAGUCAGAAGUCUGUUUAUAUAAUUUACAUUCAAUCAAUCUCUAAAUCAUUACGUGCAAAUGACAUUAUUCAAUUUGUAUUUGCAGAUAAUAGAAUAUCACACAUACACGCAUGUCAUUAGCAAUCCAUAUUGGGAUUUUCAGUUGUUCAAUAAUGGAUGUGCUCUCUCUUCGCAACUGAGAAGUAUGCAGCUAAUCAAGCAUGAUGCCUACUUUUGAACCUUCCCUCAAUUUGAAACCUAAUUAUGUCGAUAUUACUUUGCAUUUCUCCAUUGAUCUUGUAGAAAAAACGAUGAUCCCUCAGCAUGUUUGGCAAACUUUUUUUGAUAAUUUGUUCACUGUACAAUUUAUUCAUGUAUAGCCCUUAUUUGGGCUCAAUUUCAGUGAGAUUUUAAAAAAAUUAUAUUUUGAAAUAAUAAUUUUUUUAAGAAUGUGUGAUUAGAAAAGAAGAAAAAAUUUGGGUUUAGGUGUAACAUUAUUUUAUUAAAGAAUGUCUGGUUGAUAAAAGAAGGGAAAAGUGAAUUAAAAUUUUAAUGGAACCCAAAUGGGGACAUAAUCUCUAAAUGCUCUUUAAUUGGUCACUCUAGAAUGGUGACGAUCCAGAAUCUCGAGUGAAGUAGCACGAUCGUUGAUCAUCGAUGGUUGCAAUAACGAAAUUGUUUAUUAAUAUUUAAUUAAAUAAUAUUAAAACAUUCUUUUGAAUCUGCCAUUGAUUUAGAAUUCUUUGAAAAAUAAAUAGAUUAUAGGUGUAAAAUACUCCAUACGCGACUCGAGUGCUAAAACAAUGAAAGAUUGGUAACUGCAAUCGCCAAAAUAAUAAAUUAAAGUUUAGUUGAUAUAUUUGUAAUAUAUUUGACCGGCAAAUGUGUUGGCUAUCCUAAUUUAUUUAUUUUAAAAAGGAAAAAAAAUUAAUAAUGCAUAUUUGCAUGGAGGCAACAAUGCGAUCGGGCUUCCAUGUGCCUAGGACACUCCAAAUGGAUGUAUUAUGUAUAUAUCCAAUUUUUAUCUAUUUUAAGUAUUCUUCUGCUUCCUUCAACUCUUUUAACAUAAAUUUUCAUUCCUUUUUUGCACUGAACAUAAAAUUAGAUUCCUCUUUAAUUCGUACUGCUCUGAGGUUUGUCCUCUAAAUUAUAACCUUGAUCUAUGGAAUUUAUGAUAUUAUUGGAUUGCACUGACAUAGUUCCCUGUUUCAGUUAUGCUGAGGAUCUGGAGGAUCUUGGUUUGGAAAAAUUCCAGCGUUGGAAACGUUUUCCUUGAGGUAAUCUAUUUUAAUUCACAUAUCGGCAGAGCUAGCACGGGCAACUGCUGGUGCUCAUUGGGGGCUGGCUCCACCAGUGCUUUUGAAGAAGUAUGGAAAAAAAAUGGCGCCAUUAAUAUCUCCAUGAACAAAUUGUCUGAUUUUAUGCUACUACCUUCCAAAUUCAAACCUACCACAUCUAUAGUAUAUAUAAGGGUUAGACAUAGUUCAAUUCGAUUCUAAAGAUAAUCGAAUCAAAUCAGAAUUUUUUGUGGAUUUAAGAAGGGGGAAUUUCUCAUCCAGAUUUAAUUAUGGAACUGAACCGGUAUAUACCAUAACUAAUUUAUAACACUUACUACAACACUGUAUUAAUCCGACUAAUGACAAGUUCAAUCUUAACUCUUAUAAAAUAAAGUAGUUCAACACAGUGAUUGAGAAAAAUUUAGGUCACUCAAUUUUGAUUAUUCGAAAUUUUAAUUACAAAGUUGGACUUGGCUAAAAACAGGAAAAUGAUAUUUUGAGCUCAAUUAAUUAGUUUGAAAAUGUAUUUAGAAAAAAAAAAUCAUAUAAUUUCGCUUAUUUAAUAUAAAAAAAAAUUUAAAAAUUAGAGAAAUUUGGUUCUUCUAUUUUCGAUCUAGAACCGAACCAAAUCUAUCAUUUUUCAAUCAUGUUACACAUUCAGAUAAUUAAAUUAAGAAGAACCGAAUCGAAUUAACUGAGUUCGAGAGUUUUGUCUAACCCCAUAUAAAGUCAUCUUUCAUAAAAUUGUGGUUAAGUUGGGCUAGGCCCAUAAACUAUGAACGAGAAGCAAUUCGACUCCAACCGGCUCGGUCGUAAAAAAAAAAAAAAAAGGGUUUUACAUAUCAAUGAAGUUUUCAAGUUAAAUUUGUUUAACUUUUCCUAGCUCAGAACGAAAGUUGUUGUAGCCCAAAUGGUAGAGCGCUUGUUUUGCAUAUGAGAGGCACCCGAUUUGAUUCCUUUCACCUCCACUUCUUCUUUUAAACUUUUAUAACAUAAUGCAUAAUUAUCAAAUAACUCUGUAUCAUAUAAUUUCCAUUUCCUGGUGCUGUAGCUCAUAUGGUAAAUAGCUUGCUUUGUAUGCGAGAUGCGUGGAGUUUGAUUUCCCACACCUCCAAUGAAGUUUUCAAGUUAAAUUUGUUUAACUUUUCCUAGCUCAGAACGAAAGUUGUUGUAGCCCAAAUGGUAGAGCGCUUGUUUUGCAUAUGAGAGGCACCCGAUUUGAUUCCUUUCACCUCCACUUCUUCUUUUAAACUUUUAUAACAUAAUGCAUAAUUAUCAAAUAACUCUGUAUCAUAUAAUUUCCAUUUCCUGGUGCUGUAGCUCAUAUGGUAAAUAGCUUGCUUUGUAUGCGAGAUGCGUGGAGUUUGAUUUCCCACACCUCCACUUCUUCUUUCAAUUUUUAACACAAUAAAUAAUAACUAAACAAUUUUAUAUUAUUAGUUAUUGUUUCUAAAAUAAUUUCUUUGAGAAAUAUAUUUCUUCUUGUUGUUAGAUUUUAUCAAUUUAUUUUGUAAAAAUCAAAUUUAGACAAUUUAAGAUUGAUCUUUAUUCUUUUAAGAGCUCGAAAAACAGUAUUCUUUUUUAACAUGAAAAAUAGCUCUAAAAUUCACUGUUUUGAAAAAAAUUUCAUAGGCUUCGCCUAAGUUCAUAAAAAUUUGAAACUUGAUUAUACGUGUAUGAUUCAAAAAAUUUAUAUUUAUUCCUUAUUAUUUUGGAAAGUAUUGGACAAUAUUUUCAUAUGUAUAUGAUUUUUACAUUUUGGUACAUUUAUAUAUUGAUUGAAGAUUCUUUUAAUAUAAAUUAAUAAACCAUUAAGAAACAAUCUUGCUAUAUUGGACGAGCGCUCAUGGCUACUCGACGCUCUGCCCUAUCUCACUCAAGCAGCUAGAUCUGCCUUGGCUGAGAUUGCUUUUGAUGGUGGCCAUAAAAAGGCCACCUGUCUUUAUUUUCCCUAUUGUUUUGUGUUUUCAAUUUUCUAGUUGAUGAUAGUUACGUGAACAUAGAAAUUUUUAUGAUCUUUUAUUUUUGUAAUGCACAGUUUCAAAGAUGGGUGUUCUUUUGAUGAUGGUGAUUGUGGUGGCCAUCUCAAAAGAACUGGCAUUAUUUUCUUUCCAUCUAUUUUUACAAUAUUUUUUAUAAUUUUAGUUUAAUUGUAGCUGAAAUUUUCUAUGUUCUGUACAUGUAUUUGAAUAUGAACUAUGUAGACUGCAAAUGCUCACAUAAUAACAAUAGUGAUUGGCAGUGGCGAAUCCAGUACUCGACGAACACCGGCGGACAUGCCGGCUGGAUCUAUCGAGAAUAAAUUAUUUUUUCGUUGUAGAAGAUAAAGGAUUUAGGUUAUAUAUCUAUCUGGUAAUUCAUUUUAAAUUUAAACAUCAUCCAUAGCUCGGUUAGAGCUUCAACUUACAAACAGAAAGUCCAAUGAUCAAACCUCUUCCUAACAAAUUUAUUUUGUAAUUUUUCUAUUUCUACAAUUUUUACCAAAACUAAUGCAAUAGUGAGGGGGACUCGAACCUAUGACCCCUCUUUAAGAUUAUUGAUAGCUUGACCAUCGUGGCAGUUGUUGAGUUUUGACGGUAAAUUUAAUAGAAUUAUAUAUUCUAUUUUAGUGGUUUUAAUGCAAUUGCAAAGAUUCGAACAUAUUCUCUUCAUUUGAAUUAUUCAGAACUUGACCAUUAUGUCAUUUGGUGAAUAUUGUUAACAUGUAUUAUAAAAUUAUAAAUGUUCAAUUUUAGCAAAAUAAUUAUUAUAUUUAAUUUUUAUAUUUUAUUACUACCGACAGUUAACAGUCAAUGACCGCACAUGCUCAAUCAAAAUUCUAGAUCCAUCACUGGUGAUGUGUAUUGGAUUCUCGUCCUUACCUUAGGUCAUUGCUCAACUAGGAUGGAUAGCUAGUCCAUCUGUGAUGAUCUUGAUCGCAUUUUUGCCUUGCUAUACCUCUGCUCUUCAAAUAUCUUAUUACCUAUGAGGCGAUCCCUAUACUGAUAAAAGAAACUAUAAUUACAUGGAUGCUGUCAAAGCUGUUGAGAUUUGAGGUUCCAUCUUAAAAAGUCAACCUUGUUAAGAGGAGUAAUCCAAGACCUUAUAAGUUGAUCUAUGUUUUCAUCCUUAAUCGAUAUAAAAUUUUAUUCCUUAACAUGCCCCCUCAAGAUCGUAGCUCGUUUGAGCAGACCAAUCUUGAAAUCCAUAUGUUCAUUUAUUGAGUCUUAAUUGAAUCAAAUUUCUCGUUAGAGUUUAAUGGACUCUGAUAUCAUGUUAAGACUUAAGGUUCUAUAUUAAAAGAUCAACAUUGUUAAGAGGAGUAGCCUGAAAACUUAUCAGUUGAUCUAUAUUUUCAUCCUUAAUCGAUAUAAGAUUUUAUCGCUUAACAAAGCCGAGGUAAUUUUCUGUUCAACUGUAGUUAAUAUCUCAAGCGCAGACGGCCCUAAUGAUACUAUUAUAUUUUAUACUUAUCUUCUUGCGAUACUUGGAAUAUUCAGGUUGAUUUCGGGUGAAAAUUUGUGGAGCAAUCCAAUACUUGAAUCUUUUUGGAGUUGCCAACGGUUACACUAUCGAUUUCUCUAUAAGCAUGAUGUGAGUAUGAGAGGAAGAUAAACUCCAUUUUAGUUCAAUUUUGCUUAGUAGUGUAAAAAUGGGUGGGUCAUAUUAAGAUUUGGGGUCCAUUUUAAUAAGGUUAACAUUGUUAAGAGGAGUGGUUCAAGAUCUAUUUAAAUUGGUCAAUAUUUCGGUAUUUAAUCGAUGUGAGAUUUAUUCCCUUAAUAUGCCACCGCAUGAUGGUGGCUCUUUUUGAGCAGACUAAUUUUGAAAUCCGUGUGCUCAUUUUUUAGACUUAAUCGAAUCGAAUAGCUCGUUGGAACUUAUUGGACUCUGAUACCAUGUUAAAAUUUGGAGUCAAUCUUAAUAAAAUCAAUUUUAUUAAGAGGAGUAGCCCAAGAUCUAUUUAAGUUAAUCAAUAUUCCGGUAUUUAAUCGAUGUGUGAUUUAUUCCCUUAACAGGUCGAUUUGGACGUCCCAUGACCCAUUACGUUAAAGGAUCGGUCCAUUACGGUUUCCAGGCCUUGGCCCUCAAAAAUUUUGUUAAACCCAAGAUCGAUCCACUGCCUUCUCUGUUGGCUUUUCUUAUCCCAAGGCCUUAAUUCCACCCCCAAAUUAUUAAUUGAUGUUAGAAAGCUAAGAACAUUAUCUACUUGUCAAUUUGGAUAUGUUUAGGAAUCUUUUUCUAGUAAAAUGGCCUUUUAAUGAAUGCUUAUUGGUUAUUAACAUAAUGUAAUCGAUAAGAUGAGGAGAAAAAAGAAUGCAUUUUAUCAGAAGAUUUGGGAAAAUAUUUUUGAUAUAUUUUUUACAUAUUAUUUUAGUUGUCUUAAUAUAGAUUGAUUUUUAAAUGUCAAUGAUAAGUGCUUAAAAAAAAAUAAUAAUAAUAAAUAAAUAAAAAUCAUGAGUUGUCCAAACAGGCAAUUAGUCCUGAUUGAUUUAGUUGUACGAUUUUCAACACAACCUGUACCUGCGGAUUUUAUGGUUUUUAACACUUAAACGGGACGCAAUUUUCACUUCCAUAUUACAGUUAAUACAGAUUUAUUUAUCUACCAUUUUAGAUAUUAUUUGAUAGGUUAAAUAAUUUAAGUUAAGGAAAUAUUUGCUUAUCAUUAAACUUUCCUUAAGUUUAUUUAUCAGUAUAUCAAAUAAAUCUUGUAUGAUAUGAUUAUAGACUUACCGAUUUUAUUGUGUAUAAUUUUAGGUAAGAUUUAAUCUAAUCUUGAUUGUUGUUUUAAGGAAAUAUUGAUUUAAUAUUAAACUUUCUUUAACUUUAUGAUAUGAUUUUAUACUUGUCGUGUUUCAUUGUCUGAUUUUUGUGUAAGUUUUAAUUAGAAUCUUGUUUAUUGCUUUAAAUAAGUAAAUGAAGAAAUAAAGAAGACAAUUAACAAGCUUUGAAUAACUUUUUCAACAAGAAAUCACACUAGACAUUAUGCCUUAUUGAUGAAAUCAAAGUACAAUUUUAAAAAAACCUGAUUCCGCUUGUGAACCUAUUACCUGUGACAAGCAGUUCUGUCGUUAACUAGCAGCAAGCAAUUUCAUCAUUAACUAGCAACGAGCAGUUCAGCCAUUCUCGAAAGAGUUCAUAUAGAUGUGAUGCUUCAUUUAAUAUUUUCGAAGCCAAAUUUCUCUUCAAGUAUUAGGCCCUGUUUGGGAGCCAUUUUAAUUUGAGAGAAUUCAUUUUCCAAUCUUAUCAUUCCUGGCUUAUGAUUUCAUGACUUUUGUAUUUGCUGUAGGGUUUUGUCUUCGUUUUCUAUUUAUACCCCAUUAAUGGCAAAGAAAUCACAGUGCAAACUACUGAAUAUUGGAUAGUUGGAGUGAUGGAAAAAAUUGGUAAAGUUUAAAAGAGAGGAAUAACUCUGGAUAGACUUUUGUCAAGUCAGUGUCAAAAAUAUUGAAUAAAGAGAGAAUUGUUCACUGUGUGACGGUAAAGAAAUGUCUACAAAUGAGAUGAAAAUGAGCUUCAAACAAUCGCUAGGAGAAUACGUGCGCUCAAUAUUCAAUCCCAUCAAUGAAUCUAACUACAAGCUUGAGUUAAGAAUGAGGGUUCUUAAUUCAGGUAGUGGCUGCAGCUGAGUACAAAAGUGAAGUGAUGGUAAAGUCAAGAUCAAAGUAUUUGAUUACGCUUCUACAAUAAUUCAAAAGAAGAAGAAAAUCAAUGAGUUGUUUUUAAAUUUCUUUUGAUUGUUUUUGUUAAUUUUGCAAAAUUACAAAAUUGAGAUUGUCAUAUUUUUUAUCAAUUAAUUAAUGGAGAUAUUUACACCUAGCAUGGGGCAUGGAAUGUUCUCCUUUGGAGUUGACCACGUUAUAUUUGGUGUUCAUAAUUUAAUAUGUUAGUUAAUUUUCACAAUUGAGCAAAACCCCUUUGAACACUAUAAUAUGUUUACACGCUGUAGUAGGAACUGCAGACAAAAACUGGUUAUAGAAUAUUCUGACUGCAUAACAUGUACUAAACUGAGUAAUUAAGAUGGAAUUUUUAAUUAAUUAGGUAUAAGUAUUUACAAAAAGCUUAAAACAUAGACCUGAAUACAUGAUUUUAACAUUUAUUUGUCUUUAACACUUUAGUAAUGCGCAAUUGAUCUUUUAAAUGAACAAUAAAAUAGUACAAGACACCCUUUCGAGACCACAAAUUAUCUCUGUGUAAAAACCUUCUGUUGACACAUAAAAAUUCAACUCAAGUCGAACAGCCCAAGGAGUAAAGCCCAAUUGGAGAAUCCCCAAAUCGGAUGGCCCAAAGAACGAAGUCCAAUCGAACGAGUCAAGGUGAAGGCCCAAACAAGGGGCCCAAGAAUGCGGUAACGCCAUCGCCCAAGUUUGCAAGUCGUCCAGAAUCUGAACGAAUGGAGUGUCAUACGGUCGCCCAGAGCUGUUAUUCUACUCUCGCCCAAACCUUCAAGUCGCCCAAGGUAUCAACAAACAUAACGCAUCGUGGUUAUCAAGGAAUGCAGUUAUCAAGGCAGUUGUUAAAGUAGCCUUAUCACGUUCCACGACUCAAGGAAUUCAAUCGAAAGCGGUUGAACGAUGAAAGAUAAUGGCAGCAGUUAAGAGGCAAUUUCAUGACAAAAUGGCCACUACAAAGAAAGUGGGUAGUUAUAGGACGAUCAAGCAGUUUUCAGAGUAGUUAAUCACAAAGAGAUCGUCUAUGAGGUAUAAAAGGGAGAAAGGACGCAGAAGCAAAGGACCGAAUCCAAAACUCUCGAACAGAGAAUAUGUAAUUUUCAUUUCCUUAGCUUUUAGACUUAAACAUCUUUCUUUCUGUAACUCGUGUGCUUGCGCCCCUUGGAGGCACGUUGUUCUUCAUUCCCAAUUGUAAAGUUCAUCGCCAAUAAAAGAACACCCCUUUUUGGGACUUUGUCUCAAGAGGUUUCGUCCCUUACACAAUCGUCUGAUCCCUUUUAAUUGUUAGCGACUUAACCCGCGCGAAACAAUUUGACACGCCCAGUGGGAUAGUGGUGUUAGGUGUUGAAAAUACAAAAGGUGAAACAAUAUGCCUCAGAGAUUCGACAAGGAAGGAGCAAGUCAGGGAGGAAUCCAGUCUGUAAUCGAGCGAUAUGAGGAGCAGCAUGCCUCUCCACGAACAGAUGGACAAAAUCAGAGCAGUAAUAAUCGUUACGAACCAAUGACGGAGUUGAGUCCUCGAACCAUGCGUGCAUUGCUUGGAAAACUCACGCAAGACGUCGUUGAACAGGUAAAUCUUCGAAGUAUUCAUAAUAUGGAAAGAUUUACACAAAAUGGAAAUGCACACUAUGACAAUAUGGUCAAACAGCUAAAGACGUUAAACGAAACAAUGAAUAAGUUAGUAGGCCAAAUAUGUCAACCGGCUAUACCUCUUACAAACCACUUUCAAAUCAGGACAAUUGUGGGACAUAAUCCCUUUGUCCUAAAUCCGAAUCAAGGGGUGGAAUCGCUUUCUGGUCCCUCUACCUCAAACCAAGGAGGUACUACAGUGCCAAAUCAAAAUAAUGGUAGUGGCAUGCCUAACUUGGGGGGUAAUUCAAACGUAAGAGAUAAUGUCCUAAACAAUGGACAGAAUAUUCCACGUGGUAAUGAGAGAACAGAUGUCCAGGCUAACGGUAAUGGACCUAAUUAUGGUAAUUUUGUUGCCAAUCAAGGACCAAACAUCAGACUUCAUGCAAAUCAACCGGUUAAUCAGCCUGUAGGAAUUCCAUAUGAUUCCAAUGUCAUGUUGAGGAACCAGAUUAUGGAAAUCGUGCAGGAUUAGAUGGCCUUUGGGGUGCGUCCUGUCGUUAGGCCGACGUAUACAAAGCCAUAUCCUGAUUGGGUAGACCAAGCAUAUCCAUGGCCUAGAGGGUACAAAGUGAUAGAAUUCUCACUGUUUACUGGUUUAGGAGAGGUGUCUACUCUAGAACACAUAGGGCGAUUCACGUUGCAAAGUGGUGAUGUAACCGAUUACCAUAAAAUGAGACUUUUCCCUAGUUCGUUAACAGGAGUAGCUUUCUCCUGGUUCAUCAACUUGCCAGCGAACUCUGUUCAAACAUGGCAACAACUGGAACAGCUGUUUCAUGCUCAGUUUUAUAAAACUGAAUCUGAAGUCACUUUGGCUGAUUUGGCGAAUCUACGUCAAAUGUCAAAUGAAUGGGCAGAAAGUUUUCUCCAAAGGUUCAAAACAGCAAGAAGCAAAUGUUUUGUACCUCUACCCGAAAAAGAAUUUGUAAAGAUCGCACAAGGCUACUUGAGCUUUGAUUUAAAAAAGAAGUUUCAAGACAAGGAAUUUCCUGACCUUUUCCAGUUGAGUGCUGCGAAUGUGAUUAGAUAUGAACGACUGAUAAGAGAAGAAGAACAAAUGAAAAAUUCUAGUAAAGGGACUUAUUACAGAGACCCAAAUUUUGACGUUCAUACCAUCGACGACGAAUCAUACGAUCAGGCUGAAAUGUGUUUGGCCGAAUUGGUAAAAGGGGAUACAUAUACUUGUCCCAUAAUGGCCAAGCCUAGACCAUCGGGCAAAAAUGAGCCCAUAAAGGAUGGAAACAUAAAAGGUAGAACGUUCUCGUUCGAUGUGACCAAAGCUGACCUUAUAUUCGAUAAAUUGUAUAGGGAUAAGCAAAUAAAGCUGAGCGAUAAGCACAAAUUGCCAAAACCUGAACAAAUAAAGGGUAAAAAAUAUUGUAAGUGGCAUAAUGCAUGGUCACAUUUGACUAACAAUUGCUUGGUUUUCCGUCACGUAUUGCAGGAUGCUAUUGAAUCAGGACGAAUUACGUUCGACGAUAAGAAAAAGAUGGCAGUGGACGAGAAUCCUUUCCCACAGCCACUUGGGGUAAAUAUGGUAACAUCUGGGUUCAAGAACAAGUUGCCAAAAUUCAAGUUGGUCAUAGACGAUGGAGAAGAAGACACUAAAACACAUCCCAGUGUUUUCGAACGAAUCAAAGGGAAAUAACCAAAAAAGGACGAAAACGUCCUGUGUGCAAGGUGUAAAAGGGAAGUAAACGGAGACACGGAGAAACCAUGGACAUGGCAGCAUCCUCAUCGCCCUGCCUUCUUCCCAAACAUUCAGCCUGGCAGAGGGCGAGAUACAUCAUUUUAUAGAGGACCACCUUUUGAAAGGCAGUUCAGACCAGCAGAUAUUGGAAGAACAUUUAGGCCGCAACCUCGCCGGCCAAAUGUAUGGCAUUCAUUCCAAUACAGCGCAGGAAGGGCAAUACCCUUCGAUGAGAUGACUAUGACCCAGCAAAGGCGUUUCCAGCGAAACUAUGGACGGAUGAUGAGGCAGCAACAAGGAAUGCCACAUCCUAAAGCGCCUCUAUUACUCAAGGUAGCCAAUCAGAACGUCCUCAAAAGUAGUAAAGAGACUGGUACAGAUGAAUCAAUGAAAGAACUGCCAGAAACCUCUUCUGGAAGGUCAAGGUUUGAGAGGGACAAAAAGGAUGAAGAAGAUCUAGAUCAGCCCCUUGCUAUCCAAUUCGAUACGUUGCCUCCUGUCGUGGCCAAUAAUUACCUACUAGCCAAUGAAUUCAAGAAUAAAGAAAAGGAAGAAGAGAGGGAGGACAACGAAGAAGAAGCCUGCAGGCUGGUAUGUGAAGAAGGCCAGACUUCUGGAGAGGCCUACAACGAUGAAGAGGACGAUGGGAUGACAGACAUUAAAGAAGAAAUCGACCUAGAAGCAGAAAGGAAAAAGAGGGGAGUAUCGCGCAACACUCUGUUUAAGCAACUACACCAAGAGGGAGUUCGCGAAGUAGACUUGUUGGGGGAGCCAUCUGGGCGUCCUUUCGACUUCUACGUACUAUACGGGACACCCAAAAGGAAGAAGAUAGUACUUCGCUCUGAAAAGUAUGGGUCACCUCCAAAGAUAAUGCCCCCUCCCACAGGUUGGAUAACUGAUGAGGAAGCAUUAGAAAGAAGUAAGAAGGAAAUUCGGGAGACAGAGGAUCAGCGUGACAUACUACACGUCGACCUAUCACAGGGGGAUAAUUCGACAGAAAACAAGCAAGAAGUAGAAAUAAAGGCUGUCGAAAACGUUGUUUUUAAACGGCCAGCCAUGAAAUUGACAAAACACCUGAGGCCAUUAAACGUUAAAGCUCUAGUUAACGGCGUCCCAGUGGCAAAUGUGCUUGUCGAUAAUGGAGCGGCUAUAAACACCAUUCCAUCCAGGAUGAUGAGAAAGUUCGCAAAGACAGAGGGUGAUAUGAUUCCUAUAGAAGUCAUCCUCACUAGCUUCAAUGGAGGAGCAACUUCAGCUAAGGGAGUUAUGCCUUUAGACAUAACUAUAGGUACGACUACUAGGACCACUGUCUUCUUUGUAAUAGAUGGCCCUACUAGUUACAAUGUGCUCCUAGGAAGAGAUUGGAUACACGGAAGCCGCUGUAUACCUUCGUCGCUCCAUCAAUGCCUGAUUUUUUGGAAUGACAAAGGCGAAGCAGAGGUGGUACAGGCUGAUCAUAGGCCUUUUGUCGUGGAAGCAAACUCGGUGGAAAAGUUCACGUACGAAGGAAACUAUGGACCUGUCAGAGUGGUACAAGACGGGGAAGAAACUUAAGUUGUCGCACAAAGCGAAGAACCAUUCUCAGUGGACGCACUCACUGAGAUGUUCAAACGGAUGAGACCAAAUAUAGUGGCCCUAGAAGAGCCAGUGAUUGGCAAAAGAAUAAUCAAGGAAUCUUAAACGGAUUCUGAGUUGCAAAAGCAAAUGGCCGAUAUUCAGGCCUUCAAAGCCAGACUGAUGGCUUUCAAUAAGGAAUGCAAUGACAAAGUAAAGGAAGAGACUGCCCUAAAAGCGCUGAAGGACAAGUUGGCAGUAUUCGAGUUAAAGCAAAGCCUUGGCCGAGAAGUCAACAAGGUGGAUUGUUUGGAAGAGGAAGUACUUACAAAAGAACUGGACGACGAAGUGAUGCGGAUUGCCAAACCUGGAUACGCUCAAGCGCAAGACCCUCUGAUCAAAGUAAAUAUUGGUGAUGAAGGAGAAGAUCACCCAACGUUCAUCAGCCAGAUGCUCGACCAAGAGGUUAGUAACAAAUUAAUCGCUUUGUUAAAAGAGUACAAAGAUUGUUUUGCUUGGGAAUACGAACAAAUGCCUGGUUUAGAUAGAGACUUAGUGGAACAUAGAUUACCAACUAAGCCUAAUUUUAAACCUCAUAGGCAACCUCCUAGGCAUUUUGCUCCUAAUGUACUCCCCGAAAUUAAGAAAGAGAUAGAGCGAUUAUUGAAAGCAGGUUUUAUAAGAACAGCCAGAUAUGUUGAAUGGUUGUCAAAUAUUGUGCCAGUACUAAAAAAGAAUGGUAAACUAAGGGUGUGUAUAGACUUUAGAAAUUUAAACAUAGCUACACCCAAAGAUGAGUAUCCAAUGCCCACGGUGGAUUCCUUAGUAGAUUCAACUGCUGGACAUGUUAUGUAUUCUUUCAUGGAUGGGUAUUCAGGAUACAAUCAAAUCUAUAUAGCUGAAGAAGAUAUACACAAAACUGCCUUUAGAUGCCCUGAGUCUCUAGGAUGUUUUGAAUGGGUGGUUAUGCCUUUCGGCCUAAAAAAUGCAGGGGCAACUUAUCAAAGGGCCAUGAAUUUAAUCUUUCAUGACAUGAUAGGCAAGUUUGUUGAGGUGUAUGUGGAUGAUAUAGUGGUCAAGUCCAUUAAAGAAGAUGACCAUUUCGAACAGUUAAGAUGUUCGUUUGAAUGAAUGAGGCGAUAUAAGCUAAAGUUGAAUCCCUUGAAGUGUGCAUUCAGUGUCAAUGCAGGGAACUUUCUUGAUUUCUUAGUACACAAGAGAGGGAUUAAACUUGACAAAAAUAAAGCGAAGGUCAUCUUAGAAGCCAAACCACCUAGCAAUAAAAAGGAGUUGCAAAGGUUUCUAGGCCAAGUAAAUUUUUUAAGACGCUUUAUUUCUAAUUGUGCAGGGCGAACUAAAGUUUUUCGCUGCUAUUAAAGCUGAAAAAUCAGGACGAAUUCGUCUGGUAAGAAGAACAUCAAAAGACUUUUGAAAGUCUGAAGACAUAUCUAUCAAGUCCACCAGUGUUGGUGUCACCAAUCCAAGGACGGCCAAUGAAAAUAUAUGUAUCGGCUGAAAAAGAAUCAAUAGCUGGAAUGGUCGCACAGGAAGACCAAUUUGGUGAAGAAAGAGCAAUUUAUUACUUAAGUAGACGGUUGACGAAAUGUGAAUGUAAUUACUCUGCUGCUGAAAAUUUGUGUCUAGCACUGUAUUUCACAUGUACAAAACUAAGGGCUUAUUUACGGCCCGUAACCGUUUAUUUAAUUUCUAAAGUAAAUUUAGUCAAGUAUAUGUUCUCGCGCCCUAUUUUACACCAAAGGGUAGGCCUUUGGACACUAGCUUUAUCAGAGUUCGAAAUACAAUAUAUACCUCAAAAGGCAGUCAAAAAUCAGGCUUUGGCUAACUUUCUAGCCGAUCAUCCAUGCCUUGACAUGCCUAAAGAAAUCGAAUUAGAAAUCAAUUCGUUCGAAUUAAAACCUUGGGUAUUGUAUUUCGAUGGGUCAAAAACUUCUUAAGGUGCGGGAGUAAAGGUAGCAUUGAUUAAUCCUUUAGGGAUCUGCUACAAGUUUGCAUUCACCUUAGACAGAAUGUGCACCAACAAUCAGGUCGAAUAUGAAGCUUUAAUUGUAGGCCUAGAACUAAUGGUAGAUAUGGGAAUAAGAAAUGUGAUCGUUAGGGGCAAUUCUCAAUUAGUGAUCCAUCAAUUGAUCAGUGAUUUUAAAUGCCAAAGUGAUUCUAUUAUAAGUCAGUACGAGAUCGUCCAAGAAUUACUAGAAGAAUUCGAUCAAGUAGAACUCCAAUGCGUUAAUAGGAUAUAUAACGACAUGGCAAAUGAGUUAGCCCAAAUGGAAUCAGGGUACUCAAAGGUUUUGAAUUGGAAGUCUACUUGUGAAUAUGGAAUCAUAUUGCCCGUGAUUCAAAGAAGGGCGAGAAAAAUUGAACUUCACUGUACACAAGAUGGAGAUGCAGUGGAUUGGAGAGCAGAGAUUAAAAGGUUCCUUAAAGAACCUAAUGGAUGGAUUAGUAGGAAAACGAAGCUAUGUUUGCUGAAUUACACACUAAUAGAUGAAGAGUUGUUUAAGAAACGCUCUGAUGGUGUAUUACUAAAGUGUGUAAGUUUGCAAGAAGCCAAGACGAUCAUGGCUGAAGUGCACGAAGGGAUAUGUGGAGCUCAUCAAGCUGGCCAAAGGAUGAGAUGGUUAAUUAUUAGGAGUGGAUAUUUUUGGCCAAAGAUGGGAGAACUAUGCGUUCAGUAUGCAAAAAGUUGUUUAGCAUGCCAAAAACAUGGUCCAAUACAAAGGGCGCCAGCACGAGAGAUGGCCCCUAUUAUUAAAUCUUGGCCGUUCAAAGGUUGGGCGAUGAUCUGAUAGGAAAGAUUUACCCUCCAUCGUCCAAGCAACAUACUUUUGUUAUAGUUGCAACCGACUAUUUCACCAAAUGGGUAGAGGCGGUACCUUUGAAAGAGAUCACCCAGAAGAAUGUUAUAGAGUUUAUUCGUGAUCACAUUAUUUAUAGGUUUGGAAUUCCACAAACUUUAAUGGUAGAUCACAGAACAUCUUUAAAUGGGGAUCAAGUGAACAAAUUCUUGAGCGAGUUUGGGAUUAAAUUAGUAAACUCUACACCGUACUACGCUCAAUCCAACGGACAAGCAGAAUCUUCUAAUAAGAUUCUAAAAAAUAUCAUCAGAAAGAUGAUAGAUGAAAANNNNNNNNNNNNNNNNNNNNNNNNNNNNNNNNNNNNNNNNNNNNNNNNNNNNNNNNNNNNNNNNNNNNNNNNNNNNNNNNNNNNNNNNNNNNNNNNNNNNNNGGCAAAUAUUUGAAAAAAUAUGUUCCUUCUUUAUGGGAAUGUGAACAGAUAAAAACAUGAUCAAACAUUUUGGACGAUCAAAAGAUAAUUAAGACAGAGCGAAAUACGUUCGAAUAAAGUUCUUUACUAUUAAACGUUCAUUACUAGAAUACAAAAGAUACAAAUGAUGGACGUGUUACAAAAUACAACUAAAGUAUCUCCCGGUUGAUCGCUGAGUAAGUUUCACACCGCCUUCCUAAAUGUAUCGCUACAAUGGUGGGAUUGACGAGUAAGAGGGUGUACUGGCCCUACCGCCUUCCUAAUUGCAUCGCUGCAAUGGUGGGAUUGAUGAGUGAGAGGGUGUACUGACCUCACCACCUUCCCAAAUGCAUCGCUGCAAUGGCGAGGCUGAGAAACACUCUCAGCAGGCAAGCUGAGAAGCACUCUCAUCAAGCAAAGUGGCCCACAUGCAGCCCAAAAAUUGCCUCCCAUCAUUGACUCCUUGUGAAGAACAAAGAGACGACGGGAAGAAUUUUGCAGGAAAAAACUUCGCUGCUGGCCAGAAAAUAUUUCCUAUACCUUCCUUACCAAAGGUGACAUCAAGGUAAAUAUAAGGCGGACGGACUAUACAGUCCAUUUUUAGAUCUGGUUGAUCGUCAGAAUGCCAAGAAAUGGCAGCAAAUUGGUUUCGAAGAAGAAAAUGAAGAGAUGAAGAUAGAGGAUAAAAAAUGCGAAACAUUUAUAGGGGGUGAAGAUGAAGAGACAGAAUACGAACAGCCACAUUUCUGUUUAAUAGACGGAAUUAAAUGGCCCUAAAUCUUGGGAACAGUAGUGGGAAUAUCAAAAGGGAAUGGACAAGAUUUUUAGUGCCAAGCAGUUAAGUGAUUAAAGAAUUGAUGAUUAGAAAAUAAACGUUAAAUAAAUGCACAAGAAGUUAAUGUUCGUUAAUAAUGAACAAAAAUUACAAAAGAGAAAAAGACAUUGUAUGUCUUAAUUACAGUCUAUCCCAUAAGGAACGAAUUCGUUCCCUAAGUUUUUCCCAAUCCUCGUUCUGCCGAGAGGAAGUGAUGUUCAAUUCAGCUGCAACGUCAUCAUCAUCAACCUCCAACUUCUUGUACUGUUCGACCAAGGAUUUAGUUCGCUCAAUCCCUUGAGAGGCGUUGUGCUUUUUAGCAGCCAUCCUCGCCCUGCAAUCGUCCAUUUUGGCUUGAAGUUCCCUCAUCUGAGCAGCCAGGCUAACCAUCAAGGAGUCUUCAAUCAUGACUUCGGAAGAGAUUUCUUUCAACUCGUCCUUAGCCUUGUUGAUCUCCAUGCGUAAAGACUCUUUCUCAGCCACAGCUCGAAGAUUUUGAGUACGCUUGGCCUUUAGUUCAGCAUUCUUGGCCAGCAUAGAAAGGACCUCGGAGUGAAUGACCUUCAAUGUCGCUUUAAAGUCGGCAGAAAGACUGAGCGACGGAAGCGUCAGUGCUUGCUCUAACGUUGCACUCAAGUGCUCAAGUUCAUCCUUGUGUCUGGCAGCAUUAGCCCUUCCAAUGUCCAUAUCCAUGAAGGAUACGUACUCAAAUACCAACUCCUUCAAGAACUUCAAAUCAUCCUCUAAAGAAGCAGCAGGACAAUCAGAUGGAGCAGGGCCAGGCAUUUGGACCUGCCCCCAAGAAGCGAACAAAUCCUGGAUAGAAUGCACAAUCCUGUCAGCAUCCUGCAAAGAAGGUUGCCAAUAUUAAAAAUCCUCACUACAAUGAACAAGGUGGAAAUAGAAAUGAUAGAAAUGAAGCAAAAAGAAAAACUACCUCGUCGACAAUCGUAGAAGAUGGCGCGCCCUCGACCAAGCUUGCAACCAGCGACUCAUCCAUUCGUAAGGACUUCCCCUUGUCCGAGCGAGACGACGUUGCCACAACGGGCGGACUCAUAGGAGUAUAUGCAAAAUUCAAGAGCAACAAAUCAGAAACCAAUAGCACGAGCAAAGGUAAGACAUCAAAAACUGAAUUACCUUCUGCUUCAAUGAUUGGGGGGUUGACACCCUGGGAAGAAGGUGGCUCAUCCAUGGGUUGUGAUGAAGACUCUGGGACCGAAGAUGUAUCUUUAAGCAUGGUCCCAUCACCAACCGGUUUGGAUGAAGUAGCCUCAACAGAGGAUGAUGGAGCAGGAGUUGUCGAUGCUAAAGCCUUUGAAGGGGAGGCUGAACUUUUCUGAAAAGUCCAAAAGAUCAUCAGUACACAGAACAGUAUCAAAUGUGGAAAAGCAUACUUGUAAAUAGACCGAUUUAAUUACCUUCCUCCUGACGAUAAGAGGGGCAUCAUCAUCAUCAUCAUCAACAUCAUCCUCUAGAAUGGGAGAUGCUGAGGCUGGCCGUUUGCGGCUUGAAACACUCUUGGCCGUAGUAGGCCUGGCGGGGAGAGAAGAAGAUGGACGAGCAGGUUGUUUAGUACGACGAGAAGGAGAGGGGCUUCGAAUAGACAAAGGAGUGACCAAAACAGGAGGAGGAGAAGAAAUACUCGGUUGGUCUAAUGAAUGAAAGGCACGAUUGGCCUCAGUCGCAAAUAAUCUGCGCUUCACUGAUGGUCAAAGUUGUUCAAAAAGAGGGUGAGUAGCAUGACAAGAAUUAAAAGGGGCUAAUGAAAAGUGGCUUGAUAAAUGGAGGUUGCGAACGUUUAUAGCCUCUGCUUCCGCCUUAUUAAUGGUAUGAAAACGGUCAAUUAAGCUCUUCGAAUAGCAAAGAGGAACAGGCCAAGUUUGGCCAAAACCAAGCUGACGGGCAAAAAAUUGGGGAGCAUAAAUUUCUACCCCCACUUUGACAUUGGUCCCAGUUAAGAUAUCAUGGAAAAGCUCCCUCCCAGUUAAAAACUGGAUCCAAAUGAGCAGAGAGGUGCUCGCGCUAUCUAUAGUGGAAGGGGGAUGUACAUAGUUUGGAGUCAAAAAAGGAGGAAAAAGAAAGAAAGAAGAAAUUGAAUCUAAAGAAUAAAAGAAUGAAAAAAUGUCCCUUCUGGACAUAUUUACAGGAGUUAAGGGCUCCAUAGCUAGCCCGUAACAGCUAGCAGAAGGACGAGAAAUGGAUGGAGCACCAAGCGAUGGAAAAUAGGAUCUCAACCACAGUUGAGUGAACCAAAGAGGUUCACUGCCAGUGGGAGAUGCACCACUCUUCAAUUGAGCCUGAAGAAAAGCCAUACCUCUAUAAAGGGCAGCCAAAAACAAAGAACAUAAAUUCAAAGGCCUGCCACGUGCCAAUUCGUGCGCUAUAGGUAAAUAACUCAGAGAAGGCUUUAUACUUGGCACACACAAAACAUAUUUACAAAGCCAAACUAAAAGAAAGGUCACUCGCUCAGAAUGGGUAGGCUCAGCGCUCGAAUGAUUAUGGAGAGUCUGCACGCUUGAAUAAGAAUCGGUGUAAUUUUUACCGAAUUGUGGGGCACCACCAAAAACUAAGAUACCUGGGAAAAUGGUAUCGCCCAAAGGUGGUAAAUUCACCAGGGCCCCAACAUCCCUUAACGUAAUGGAUAUGGGGCCAAGAGGAAAAAUAAAGGUGUUGUACUCAGAGGACCAAAAACUCAAGACAAUUGGAAAGAGCGCUGAAUCAAAAGUAGGGGGCGAAUAGAGACUUCUAAUAAGUCAGAAAUCCUAGCGCUAUCAAAAAGUGCCUUAGUAGGGUCAUGACCCACAAGGCGAGCAUGCCACCUACGAAAAGCUACAUCAAAUUUAGGCCAAGUGCGAAUACCUCUUUCGCGAAGUGGCCCCAGCGGUAGAGAGUUUAGAAAAGGAGGGCCAUGAGUGCAAGGAAACAGCUGACCCACCGCCGCCUGUUCAACUGCCUCCGCAUUGUUGAAGAAAGGACCCAAGUAAAACUCAUUACGUCCAACGUCGGCGGGCGCGAGAAAACUUGGGGUUAUGUAUGGGCGACUCAGAAGUUUCUGAAAGUCAUCAAAACGAAAGGAAUCACUAGCUUGAGAUUGUAAAGCAGCUAUUGGAGGAUGAACGAAGCUUUUCGGGGUUACGUAACAAGGAAGCAAAAGAUGAACAGUGAAUCGUGAAAGAGAUGCAAAAAAUAUGAGGCGUGGUUUGGUAGCAGUGAAAUGGCGUGUUUGGGGUUUAUAAGGGUUUGCAAAACGACGCACUUUUUCAAGUUAUAGAAGGAAACAAUGAUUGCAAUUCUUGAGAGUUUCGAACGUCGCCGGGAACAUGAAGUGAACAUGGCAAAAUUCAAUAAUUAUUAUUAAUUCUGCUAUAUUGGGGGGUAAUUGUUGACACAUAAAAAUUCAGCCCAAAUCGAACAGCCCAAGGAGUAAAGCCCAAUUGGAGAAUCCCCAAAUCAGAUGGCCCAAAGAACGAAGUCCAAUCGAACGAGUCAAGGUGAAGGCCCAAACAAGGGGCCCAAGAAUGCGGUAACGCCAUCGCCCAAGUUUGCAAGUCGCCCAGAAUCUGAACGAAUGUAGUGUCAUACGGUCGCCCAGAGCUGUUAUUCUACUCUCGCCCAAACCUUCAAGUCGCCCAAGGUAUCAACAAACAUAACGCAUCGUGGUUAUCAAGGAAUGCAGUUAUCAAGGCAGUUGUUAAAGUAGCCUUAUCACGUUCCACGACUCAAGGAAUUCAAUCGAAAGCGGUUGAACGAUGAAAGAUAAUGGCAGCAGUUAAGAGGCAAUUUCAUGACAAAAUGGCCACUACAAAGAAAGUGGGUAGUUAUAGGACGAUCAAGCAGUUUUCAGAGUAGUUAAUCACAAAGAGAUCGUCUAUGAGGUAUAAAAGGGAGAAAGGACGCAGAAGCAAAGGACCGAAUCCAAAACUCUCGAACAGAGAAUAUGUAAUUUUCAUUUCCUUAGCUUUUAGAUUUAAACAUCUUUCUUUCUGUAACUCGUGUGCUUGCGCCCCUUGGAGGCACGUUGUUCUUCAUUCCCAAUUGUAAAGUUCAUCGCCAAUAAAAGAACACCCAUUUUUGGGACUUUGUCUCAAGAGGUUUCGUCCCUUACACAAUCGUCUGAUCCCUUUUAAUUGUUAGCGACUUAACCUGCGCGAAACACCUUCCAUUCCUUAGAUUGUGUACCAAACACGAGAGGAUGUCUAGUGAUUGACCAUCUACGAAUGGUAAUUAUUAUGCUUCAAAUCAUGAAAGCUAGUAAUAACAGCAAUUUUAGACAAUAUUCUUAUUCCCCACAAAAAAUAAAAAAAUAUAAAAUUAUUCGACCGAAAAUUGAUAGGUGUCUCGAUUGCUUAUAGAUUAUACUCAUAUACUUGCAUUAUUGAGAGGCUUAAUUAUUAAUAUUAAAGGAACCCAAUCUGAUUCUGCCAUUCUGGUAAACGCUGGAAGAGAGGCCUUUCAUAUUAUUUUCAUCGAAGGUUCCCUUUAAAAGAGACGGAUUAAAAUAUUAUUAUUAACUUUGUUUUUUCUUUUUUUCACUUUUUAUAAAUAUAUAUGCUGGGAAUUUUAUGAAAGGAUGGCGCACAAUACUUAAAAACAAAUUCUUCCUCUCUAUAUUUCCUCAAAUUGAGGUUCCCUUUCGAUUUUCCUAUUAAUAUCAAAGGAACCCUAUUCUGAUUCUGCCAUUCUGGUAAAGGAUGGAGGAGAGGCCAUUCAUAUUAUUUUAUUCAAAGGUUCUCUUUCAAAGAGACAGAUCAAAAUAUUUUUUUUUACCUUUACAACUCGUAUAUGCUGAGAAUUUGGCACACGAUACUUGAAACAAACUAUUCCUAAAACCUUUUUUUUUUUUUUAUGUCCAGGUAUCCACCUUACAGUGACUAAAUCCUGAAAUCUACACCUUGACCCCUCAAACUGCAGAUAGGUUAAACCACAAGUUGUGCCCCAAACUGACCAAUGCUCAAGAGCCCCCCAACUGAUCUGCCAAAGUGUCAAACAAGUUGUUUCCGAUCUUUGCAUCUUACCUUCCAAUAGAGCUCCUGCCUUACAGAAUAAAUCCUGUCUUCUAGGAGAAUAUCUGCCUUCGAAGAGUUUUUCAAGAAUCGAACUCACGACCUCUGAUCUGCCAGCUUUGAAGCGCCCUCAUCUUUGUCAGUUGGAAUGUGCCUUGGAGGGCUAUUCCUAAAACCUUAGAAUGGAUGGAUGGUGGUGAUUUUACACAUUUUCAGGUGGAGAGAUUUUUGUGAAGCACUCACACGAGAAGCGCAAGAGUAUCAGCAAUGCACACCAAAAUUCCAACCAAUUUUUUUUUAUAAAUCUAGCUCCAAUCAAAAUUAUGCCAUGUCAGUAGAAACUAAUAUUUGGAUUUUAAUCUUAAUCUAAGUCAAAAUCAAUAACUAAUUUUAGCCACACAUUUUAUAGGAUCCACAAUUUUUCAACCACACAUUUCAUCAACUUGUAUCAAAAUCUACUUAAAAUUUGAUUUUAAUCCUAUCAAAUAGGGGCUUAAUGUGGUGACCAAUUAACAAAUCAAGAUUUUAUACUAAACUAAAUUAAUAUUCGCUUGAAGACUUUUGUGAAGAUUUAUGGAAGUGGUUAGGAAUUUCGAUAUCACUUAAGUUAAUUGACAUUGGUCCAAUCUAAAUUCAUUUGGCCCCUUUUUUCGUAUGUUUUAUCAACCGAAUUAAUCAAUUUUAGCUAAUAAUUUCUCUCAAGCAAAACUAACAUACACCUUUUCUAUUAUGUAGAAGCUAACAUACACCCCACUUCUUCAAGAGGUCACUAGCAUCUGGAAACGCAUAUAUUCUCUUCUUUCUAUAUAUAUAGCCUGAAGCAAUGCCCACAAACAUAGUACACCAGUGUUCUUCUGCAUUCAGUUCUGAUAUUUAAUUUUCUUGACGUGUUUGAAUAAAAAAAAAAAAAGAUGGUUGAAAACAAAAACCAUAACAAGAAUUUGAUGUGUCUUCUCUGGGUGGUUCCAAAUGUUUUGAUGGCGAUUUUUAUAAUUUAUGUUUGAUUUUAGCUUAAUUUUCCUGUGUUCUAUACAUGUACUUGAAUGGGAACUGUGUGGACUGCAAGUUCUCACAUAUAAACAGCAGUGAUUGGUUUUGGAGUUCUAUCCUUGCCUUAGGCCACUGCUCAACUGGGAUGGUUGGCUGGUCCAUCUCUGAUGAUCUUGUUCGUAGUUUUGACUCUACCCAAAUAGCAUUUUGUUACUGAUCGGGAGAUCCCAAUACCGGAACAAGAAACUAUUCCUUCAUGGACGUUGUCAAAGCCAAUCUAGGUAAUCUCUCGAAUGCAGGCAGCCCUAAUAUUACUGUUAUAUUUCAUUCUUAUCUUCUUGUGAUAAUUGGAAUUUUCAGGUGGAUUUCUGGAGCAAUUCAGUACUUGAAUAAUGACCCGGGGGAGGGGGAAGAGGGAGAGUAUAGAAUGGAUAAAAAAAAAAAAAAAGUCUAUUAGAAGUCUGUUAAUAUAAUUUACAUUCAAUCAAUCUAUAAAUCGUGAUGUACAAAGGACAUUAUUCAAUUUGUAUUUGCAGAUAAUAGAAGAUCAUGCAUAGUGGUAGAUCUAGAAUUUUGAAUGAGCACGGACGAACGUUAACAGUUAACCGUCGGCCGUAAUAAAAUAUUAAAAAUUAAAUACAAUAAUUAUUUUUUUUUAAAUUGAACACGGGAAGUAACUGAAAAACAAUACCUCUUUAUUUACUCAGUGGCGUUGGGAGUUCCUGCUACUCUGGUGAGACUGUGUGACCUAAAAAAUGAGGGCGUUACUUUCUCCCUCGUUUUACCUCUGGCUUGAGAUUCAGUAUAUGCUGUUAGGAAAAAUAAGGAUGAAAGUCAAAUGGCCAAAGUGUUCUCUGUCAUACGUAUGCCACUUGCCCACGUAACUUUCUCCACUAUUCCCACUUUCUGAGUGGGGGGCUUUCAACUUUCCGCCGUUGGUUGUGCCUGUGAUAGCUGUUACAUGAACCUUAUCAAUCCAUCAAUGAUUUUAUGACUAAGUGAUGGAAUAGCCGCGUAAGUAACUUCAUGCGGGUCGACCGGUCGACUACCUCACAUAGAAGUAGAGUGCUCAUGAGGGUCGACGGUCUCAUGUGGAGGUAAAGCGCUCAUGGGGAUCGACGGCCUCGCAUCAGCGUGUAAUGUCUUACCUUGCUCGUCAUCGUAGGCGGCUGUCUACGCCAUCUGAUAUCAAUAUGCAUUGACAAUAUUCAUCGAAUGAGAGGUUGGUUAGGUUUUCUAUAAUUCAAAGAAAGAAGCAUGGGUUCAAAUUCUAUCGAUUACAUUAAAACCACUAAAACAAAAGUAUAUAUAAUUCUCCUAGAUUUAGUGACAAAAAUCAUGAAGUGCUAUUAUGGUUAAGCUUUGAAUAACCUUGAGGAGAGUUACAUGUUCGAAUCUUCUUCCUAUUGAGUUAGUUUUGGUAAUAAUUGAAGAACUAUAAAAAUUGCACAACAAAAAUGGUUAGGAAAAAAUUUGAUUCCAGGACAUCCAAAUUGUAAGUGAACACUCUAGCAAACUGAGUUACAUGAGAUGUCAGGAAGUACAUUGAGUUAUUAAAUAUAUAAUAAAACUUUUAUCUAGUGUCACUCAAAAAAUAUUUGUUCAAGAUGAAUAUAGCAUGCUCGGCCGUCGGUGCUCGUCGGGUGCUGAAUUCACCAUUGAUCACACAUACACAUCGAGUUUGGGAUUUUUAGUUGUCCAAUAAAGGAUUCUCUCUCUCUCUCUCUCUCUCUCUCUCUCUCUCUCUAUGCAACUAAGAAGUAUGCAGCUAAUCAAGCAUGAUGCCUACUUUUGAACCUUCCCUCAAUUUGAUACCUAAUUAGGUUGAUAUAACUUUGCAUUUCUCCAUCGUUCUUGUAGAAAAAACCAUGAUCGAUCG
rnacentral:lncRNA from 1 species